rnacentral:tRNA from 1 species
GCCCUCGUAGCUCAGAAUCCAGAGCGCCGGUUUUGUAACCCGGAGGCCGGAAGUUCAAAUCUCCCCGAGCGCA